rnacentral:rRNA from 1 species
CCUACGGGAGGCUGCAGUGGGGAAUAUUGGACAAUGGGGGCAACCCUGAUCCAGCCAUGCCGCGUGUGUGAAGAAGGUCCUCGGGUUGUAAAGCACUUUCAGUGAGGAAGAACGCCUGGUGGUUAAUACCCAUCAGGAAAGACAUCACUCACAGAAGAAGCACCGGCUAACUCCGUGCCAGCAGCCGCGGUAAUACGGAGGGUGCGAGCGUUAAUCGGAAUUACUGGGCGUAAAGCGCGCGUAGGUGGCUUGAUAAGCCGGUUGUGAAAGCCCCGGGCUCAACCUGGGAACGGCAUCCGGAACUGUCAAGCUAGAGUGCAGGAGAGGAAGGUAGAAUUCCCGGUGUAGCGGUGAAAUGCGUAGAGAUCGGGAGGAAUACCAGUGGCGAAGGCGGCCUUCUGGACUGACACUGACACUGAGGUGCGAAAGCGUGGGUAGCAAACAGGAUUAGAUACCCCAGUAGUC